rnacentral:rRNA from 1 species
GACGAACGCUGGCGGCGUGCCUAAUACAUGCAAGUCGAACGCAGUGGGGACGGGUGUGUAACACGUGGGUAACCUCCCAUCAGAGGGGAUAACACUUGGAAACAGGUGCUAAACCGAUACUGAUGGAUGGACCCGCGGUGAAUUAGCUAGUUGGUGAGGUAACGGCUCACCAAGGCCACGCUGCAUAGCCGACCUGAGAAGGUGAUCGGCCAACCUGGGACUGGUACACGGCCCAGACUCCUACGGGAGGCAGCAGUAGGGAAUCUGCGGCAAUGGACGGAAGUAUGACCGAGCAAGUCCGCGUGAGUGAAGAAGGUUUUCGGAUCGUAAAGCUCUGUUGUUAGAGAAGCGGUAACUAACCAGAAAGGGACGGCUAACUACGUGCCAGCAGCCGCGGUAAUAC